GGAUUUGUACCGGUACACUUUCCCGUGUACCGGUACACUUUGGCAGAUUUUGAGCAGUUUGAACUGCAAGGGUGUUUUUGCAAUUGUGGCUAUUCUAUAUAGCACCCCACGCCCCUAGGGCUCUCCCUGAGCCAUCCACCAGCAGAGGAAGAGGUAGGAGAUUUCUCCAUUUGAUUUCCUUCCCUAUUUCUUGGAUUAUUAGAGGAAUAAUCACCUUUUUUUGCUUCUUUUGGUGCUUUGGUGAACUAUCCACCAUGAAUGAAGCUUGGACUUUGG
rnacentral:lncRNA from 1 species